rnacentral:rRNA from 1 species
GUGGGGAAUAUUGGACAAUGGGCGCAAGCCUGAUCCAGCAAUGCCGCGUGGGUGAAGAAGGUCUUCGGAUCGUAAAGCCCUUUCGACAGGGACGAUGAUGACGGUACCUGUAGAAGAAGCCCCGGCUAACUUCGUGCCAGCAGCCGCGGUAAUACGAAGGGGGCUAGCGUUACUCGGAAUUACUGGGCGUAACGGGCGCGUAGGCGGCUCUGUUAGUUAGGCGUGAAAUUCCUGGGCUUAACCUGGGGACUGCGCUUGAUACUGCAGGGCUUGAGGCCGAGAGAGGGUGGUGGAAUUCCCAGUGUAGAGGUGAAAUUCGUAGAUAUUGGGAAGAACACCGGUGGCGAAGGCGACCACCUGGCUCGGUUCUGACGCUGAGGCGCGACAGCGUGGGGAGCAAACAGGAUUAGAAACCCGAGUAGUCC